UGGGGAAUAUUGCACAAUGGGGGAAACCCUGAUGCAGCGACGCCGCGUGAGUGAAGAAGUAUUUCGGUAUGUAAAGCUCUAUCAGCAGGGAAGAUGAUGACGGUACCUGACUAAGAAGCCCCGGCUAACUACGUGCCAGCAGCCGCGGUAAUACGUAGGGGGCAAGCGUUAUCCGGAUUUACUGGGUGUAAAGGGAGCGCAGGCGGUUCGGCAAGUCUGAUGUGAAAACCCGGGGCCCAACCCCGGGACUGCAUUGGAAACUGUCGGACUGGAGUGUGGGAGAGGCAGGCGGAAUUCCUAGUGUAGCGGUGAAAUGCGUAGAUAUUAGGAGGAACACCAGUGGCGAAGGCGGCCUGCUGGACCAAGACUGACGCUGAGGCUCGAAAGCGUGGGGAGCAAACAGG
rnacentral:rRNA from 1 species